CCUACGGGUGGCAGCAGUGGGGAAUAUUGCACAAUGGGGGAAACCCUGAUGCAGCAACGCCGCGUGAGUGAAGACGUAUCUCGGUAUGUAAAGCUCUUUCAGCAGGGAAGAAGAUGACGGUACCUGAGUAAGAAGCUCCGGCUAACUACGUGCAAGCAGCCGCGGUAAUACGGAGGGGGCAAGCGUUAUCCGGAUUUACUGGGUGUAAAGGGAGCGUAGACGGUGAGACAAGUCUGAAGUGAAAGCCCGGGGCUCAACCCCGGGACUGCUGUGGAAACUGGCUGACUGGAGUGCUGGAGAGGCAGGCGGAAUUCGUAGUGUAGCGGUGAAAUGCGUAGAUAUUAGGAAGAACACCGGUGGCGAAGGCGGCAUGCUGGACAGUAACUGACGUUGAGGCUCGAAGGCGUGGGGAGCGAACAGGAUUAGAUACCCGAGUAGUC
rnacentral:rRNA from 1 species